AAUCAAUAUUUCAUAAAUACGCACGGCACUCAUACCAAAUUAAGAAAUGAAAAAUAAUGUUUACUCUCCGUAUAAAAUCCAUCUCCACUUUUACCAAUGAAAACAUCGAAUCUUAAACAUAAAUGCAUUUCUUUUGGACGAAGCUGUCGGAAGGCAUAUGUACAGAAUUUGUUCGAAAUAUUCCUGCCAGAGACAGUCUGCGAUCAGCAUUGGCUUGAUCAUUGAAAACUUCUAGAUGAGUUUGAUGUUGGUAAAUUUUCUACAAUAUAAAAGAGUCAUAAACGUUAUUCGGAACCAUCAAAAAUAGAGAAGGCAUACAAAGAACAUAACAGUAAUACAUAGACACAGGGAACGCCUUAUCCAAAGAAAGUGAACGUCCGGACUGUACUUAGGAAUAAGUCUGUUGCGUUAUGUAUUAAACACUUGAAAAUGUGGGUAACACAACAUUAAUUAAUUCAAAUUAGCACAUCCAAAUUGGUUGCACAUGAUAAUCAUAACUUAAUGAUGGUAUUUGUAUGAAA